rnacentral:rRNA from 1 species
AGUGAACGCUGGCGGUAGGCCUAACACAUGCAAGUCGAACGGCAGCACAGUAAGAGCUUGCUCUUACGGGUGGCGAGUGGCGGACGGGCGAGGAAUACAUCGGAAUCUACUUUUUCGUGGGGGUUAACGUAGGGAAACUUACGCUAAUACCGCAUACGACCUACGGGUGAAAGCAGGGGAUCUUCGGACCUUGCGCGAUUGAAUGAGCCGAUGUCGGAUUAGCUAGUUGGCGGGGUAAAGGCCCACCAAGGCGACGAUCCGUAGCUGGUCUGAGAGGAUGAUCAGCCACACUGGAACUGAGACACGGUCCAGACUCCUACGGGAGGCAGCAGUGGGGAAUAUUGGACAAUGGGCGCAAGCCUGAUCCAGCCAUACCGCGUGGGUGAAGAAGGCCUUCGGGUUGUAAAGCCCUUUUGUUGGGAAAGAAAAGCAGCAGGUUAAUACCCCGCUGUUCUGACGGUACCCAAAGAAUAAGCACCGGCUAACUUCGUG